rnacentral:rRNA from 1 species
AGCUCCAAUAGCGUAUAUUAAAGUUGUUGCAGUUAAAAAGCUCGUAGUUGAAUUUGUGGCUGUUGCGGGAGGCCUGGCACGCAGUGCCAGCGCUCUUUCUGCGACGCCAUCCUUGGGUUGAAAGUGGGUGGCAUUAGGUUGUCGUCUAUGGGAAGCCCAUCGUUUACUGUGAAAAAAUUAGAGUGUUCAAAGCAGGCUUAUGCCGUGAAUAUGUUAGCAUGGAAUAAUAAGAUAGGACCUGGGUACUAUUUUGUUGGUUUGCGUACCUAGGUAAUGAUUAAAAGGGACAGUUGGGGGUAUUCGUAUUCCAUUGUCAGAGGUGAAAUUCUUGGAUUUCUGGAAGACGAACUACUGCGAAAGCAUUUACCAAGGAUGUUUUCA